rnacentral:rRNA from 1 species
CCUUCGGGUACUGGAGAGUGGCGCACGGGUGAGUAACGCGUGGGGACCUACCUCUUAGUGGGGGAUAACGGUUGGAAACGACCGCUAAUACCGCAUACGCCCUUCGGGGGAAAGAUUUAUCGCUAAGAGAUGGACCCGCGUUGGAUUAGAUAGUUGGUGAGGUAACGGCUCACCAAGUCAGCGAUCCAUAGCUGGUUUGAGAGGAUGAUCAGCCACACUGGGACUGAGACACGGCCCAGACUCCUACGGGAGGCAGCAGUGGGGAAUAUUGGACAAUGGGGGCAACCCUGAUCCAGCCAUGCCGCGUGAGUGAAGAAGGCCUUCGGGUUGUAAAGCUCUUUCAGAUGCGAAGAUGAUGACGGUAACAUCAGAAGAAGCCCCGGCUAAUUUCGUGCCAGCAGCCCGCGGUAAUACCAAAGGGGCUAGCCGUUGUUCGGAUUUACUUGGGCGU